rnacentral:rRNA from 1 species
GACGAACGCUGGCGGCGUGCUUAACACAUGCAAGUCGAACGGAAAGGCCCUGCUUUUGUGGGGUGCUCGAGUGGCGAACGGGUGAGUAACACGUGAGUAACCUGCCCUUGACUUUGGGAUAACUUCAGGAAACUGGGGCUAAUACCCGAUAGGAGCUCCUGCUGCAUGGUGGGGGUUGGAAAGUUUCGGCUGUUGGGGAUGGACUCGCGGCUUAUCGGCUUGUUGGUGGGGUAGUGGCUUACCAAGUGUUUGACGGGUAGCCGGCCUGUGAGGGUGACCGGCCACAGUGGGACUGAGAUACGGCGCAGACUCCUACGGGAGGCAACAGUGGGAAAUAUUGCACAAUGGGCGGAAGCCUGAUGCAGCAACGCCGCGUGCGGGAUGACGGCCUUCGGGUUGUGAACCGCUUUCGCCUGUGACGAAGCGUGAGUGACGGUAAUGGGUAAAGAAGCACCGGCUAACUACGUG